rnacentral:rRNA from 1 species
UACAGAGGUGCCAAGCGUUAGGCGGAAUCACUGGGCUUAAAGCGCGUGUAGGUGGGUCGUUAAGUGUCCGCGUGAAAUCCCACGGCUCAACCGUGGAACUGCCGGGCAUACUGGCGAUCUUGAGGCAUUCAGGGGCGAGCGGAACAAAUGGUGGAGCGGUGAAAUGCGUAGAGAUCCGGAGGAACACCAAAGGCGAAGGCAGUGUCCUGGGGAGUACCUGACGCUCAGGUGCGAAAGCCAGGGGAGCGAACGGG